rnacentral:rRNA from 1 species
CGGACGGGUGAGUAACGCGUGGGUAACCUGCCUUACACAGGGGGAUAGCACUUAGAAAUAGGUGCUAAUACCGCAUGAGCGCACAGGACCGCAUGGUCGAGUGUGAAAAACUGAGGUGGUGUAAGAUGGACCCGCGUCUGAUUAGCUAGUUGGUGAGGUAACGGCCCACCAAGGCGACGAUCAGUAGCCGGCCUGAGAGGGUGGACGGCCACAUUGGGACUGAGACACGGCCCAAACUCCUACGGGAGGCAGCAG